AUUGAACGCUGGCGGCAUGCCAACACAUGCAAGUCGAACGAGUGGCGGACGGGUGAGUAAUGUAUCGGAACGUGCCCAAUGGCGGGGGAUAACUCCUGGAACGGGUGGCUAAUCCCGCUAACCUUUGGUUCGGCCGAGGUGGGAUUAGCUAGUGGGUGGGGUAAAGGCUCACCAAGGCAACGAUCCCUAGCGGGUCUGAGAGGGGGACCAGCCACACUGGGACUGAGACACGGCCCAGACUCCUACGGGAGGCAGCAGUGGGGAAUUUUGGACAAUGGGCGAAAGCCUGAUCCAGCCAUGCCGCGUGUAUGAAGAAGGCCUUCGGGUUGUAAAGUACUUUUGGCAGAGAAGCGGUAUCUGCAGAAUAAGCACCGGCUAACUACGUGCCAGCAGCCGCGGUAAUAC
rnacentral:rRNA from 1 species